GUAGGGAAUCUUCCGCAAUGGGCGAAAGCCUGACGGAGCAACGCCGCGUGAGUGAUGAAGGUUUUCGGAUCGUAAAGCUCUGUUGCCAAGGAAGAACGUCUUCUAGAGUAACUGCUAGGAGAGUGACGGUACUUGAGAAGAAAGCCCCGGCUAACUACGUGCCAGCAGCCGCGGUAAUACGUAGGGGGCAAGCGUUGUCCGGAAUUAUUGGGCGUAAAGCGCGCGCAGGCGGUUCUUUAAGUCUGGUGUUUAAACCCGAGGCUCAACUUCGGGUCGCACUGGAAACUGGGGAACUUGAGUGCAGAAGAGGAGAGUGGAAUUCCACGUGUAGCGGUGAAAUGCGUAGAUAUGUGGAGGAACACCAGUGGCGAAGGCGACUCUCUGGGCUGUAACUGACGCUGAGGCGCGAAAGCGUGGGGAGCAAACAGGAUUAGAAACCCCAGUAGUCC
rnacentral:rRNA from 1 species